rnacentral:rRNA from 1 species
UAGGGAAUAUUGCACAAUGGGGGAAACCCUGAUGCAGCGACGCCGCGUGAGUGAUGAAGGCCUUCGGGUCGUAAAGCUCUGUCGUAUGGGACUAACAAAAUGAAGGUACCAUGCAAGAAAGGAUCGGCUAACUUCGUGCCAGCAGCCGCGGUAAGACGAGGGAUCCUAGCGUUGUUCGGAAUUAUUGGGCGUAAAGCGGGUGUAGGCGGACUUAUAAGUCACUUGUGAAAUCUCUGGGCUUAACCCAGAACGGCCAAGUGAUACUGUCGCGCUAGAGUGCAGAAGGGGCAAUCGGAAUUCUUGGUGUAGCGGUGAAAUGCGUAGAUAUCAAGAGGAACACCUGAGGUGAAGACGGGUUGCUGGGCUGACACUGACGCUGAGGCGCGAAAGCCAGGGGAGCAAACGGGAUUAGAUACCCGUGUAGUCCCUGAGCGGGCUGGCAAGGCGCAU